rnacentral:rRNA from 1 species
AUUGAACGCUGGCGGCAGGCCUAACACAUGCAAGUCGAGCGAGCGGCGGACGGGUGAGUAAUGUCUGGGAAACUGCCCGAUGGAGGGGGAUAACUACUGGAAACGGUAGCUAAUACCGCAUACCAUCAGAUGUGCCCAGAUGGGAUUGGCUAGUAGGUGGGGUAACGGCUAACCGAGGCGACGAUCCCUAGCUGGUCUGAGAGGAUGACCAGCCACACUGGAACUGAGACACGGUCCAGACUCCUACGGGAGGCAGCAGUGGGGAAUAUUGGACAAUGGGCGCAAGCCUGAUGCAGCCAUGCCGCGUGUGUGAAGAAGGCCUUCGGGUUGUAAAGCACUUUCAGCGGGGAGGCGGUACCCGCAGAAGAAGCACCGGCUAACUCCGUGCCAGCAGCCGCGGUAAUUC